UACGAAGGGGGCUAGCGUUGUUCGGAAUUACUGGGCGUAAAGCGCGCGCAGGCGGUUCUUUAAGUCAGGGGUGAAAGCCCAGAGCUCAACUCUGGAAUUGCCUUUGAAACUAGAGAACUUGGGUACGGGAGAGGUGAGUGGAAUUCCGAGUGUAGAGGUGAAAUUGUAGAUAUUGGGAAGAACACCGGUGGCGAAGGCGGCGACCUGGGUCGACACUGACGCUGAGGCGCGAAAGCGUGGGGAGCAAACAGG
rnacentral:rRNA from 1 species